GAGUUUGAUCAUGGCUCAGAACGUACGCUGGCGGCACGCCUAACACAUGCAAGUCGAACGAAGUAGCAAUACUUAGUGGCAGACGGGUGAGUAACAUGUAGGUAUCUGCCCUUUGGCCUGGAAUAACACGAGGAAACUUGUGCUAAUACCGGAUAAGUCUUUACGGAGAAAGCUUUAUGCACCAUUGGAUGAGCCUGCACUUGAUUAGUUUGUUGGUGGGGUAAUGGCCUACCAAGACUGUGAUCAAUAGCUGAUUUGAGAGGAUGAUCAGCCACAUUGGGACUGAGACACGGCCCAAACUCCUACGGGAGGCAGCAGUGGGGAAUCUUGCACAAUGGAGGAAACUCUGAUGCAGCGAUGCCGCGUGAGUGAAGAAGGCCCUUGGGUUGUAAAGCUCUUUCGUCGGGGAAGAAAAUGACUGUACCCGAAUAAGAAGGUCCGGCUAACUUCGUGCCAGCAGCCGCGGUAAUACGAAGGGACCUAGCGUAGUUCGGAAUUACUGGGCUUAAAGAGUUCGUAGGUGGUUGAAAAAGUUAGUGGUGAAAUCCCAGAGCUUAACUCUGGAACUGCCAUUAAAACUUUUCAGCUAGAGUAUGAUAGAGGAAAGCAGAAUUUCUAGUGUAGAGGUGAAAUUCGUAGAUAUUAGAAAGAAUACCAAUUGCGAAGGCAGCUUUCUGGAUCAUUACUGACACUGAGGAACGAAAGCAUGGGUAGCGAAGAGGAUUAGAUACCCUCGUAGUCCAUGCCGUAAACGAUGUGUGUUAGACGUUGGAAAUUUAUUUUCAGUGUCGCAGGGAAACCGAUAAACACACCGCCUGGGGAGUACGACCGCAAGGUUAAAACUCAAAUGAAUUGACGGGGACCCGCACAAGUAGUGGAGCAUGUGGUUUAAUUCGAAGAUACGCGCAGAACCUUACCAACACUUGACAUGUUCGUCGCGACUCUAAGAGAUUAGAGUUUUCGGUUCGGCCGGACGAAACACAGGUGCUGCAUGGCUGUCGUCAGCUCGUGUCGUGAGAUGUUGGGUUAAGUCCCGCAACGAGCGCAACCCUCACUUUUAGUUGCCAUCAUUAAGUUGGGCACUCUGAAAGAACUGCCAGUGAUAAGCUGGAGGAAGGUGGGGAUGACGUCAAGUCCUCAUGGCCCUUACGUGUUGGGCUACACACGUGCUACAAUGGUAUCUACAACAGGAAGCAAGACUGCGAAGUUAAGCAAAUCCCUAAAAGAUACCUCAGUUCGGAUUGCACUCUGCAACUCGAGUGCAUGAAGCUGGAAUUACUAGUAAUCGUGGAUCAGCGUGCCACGGUGAAUGCGUUCCCGGGUCUUGUACACACCGCCCGUCACACCAUGGGAGUUGGUUCUACCUUAAGGCAAGGUUUUAAACCCUUGACCACGGUAUAGUCAGCGACUGGGGUGAAGUCGUAACAAGGUAACC
rnacentral:rRNA from 1 species